UACGGAGGAUGCAAGCGUUAUCCGGAAUGAUUGGGCGUAAAGCGUCUGUAGGUGGCUUUUUAAGUCUGCCGUCAAAUCCCAGGGCUUAACCCUGGACAGGCGGUGGAAACUACCAAGCUGGAGUACGGUAGGGGCAGAGGGAAUUUCCGGUGGAGCGGUGGAAUGCGCAGAUAUCAGGAGGAACACCAAUAGCGAAGGCAGCUCGCUGGGACGGUACUGACGCUAAGGCGCGAAAGCGUGGGGAGCGAACAGG
rnacentral:rRNA from 1 species